UACGGAGGGUGCGAGCGUUGUUCGGAAUCACUGGGCGUAAAGCGCGUGUAGGCGGCCCACUAAGUCUGAUGUGAAAGCCCGGGGCUCACCCCCGGAAGUGCAUUGGAAACUGGUGGACUCGAGAUCCCGGAGAGGAGGGUGGAAUUCCGUGGUGUAGCGGGUGAAAUGCGUAGAGAUCAGGAGGAACACCCGGUGGCGAAGGCGGACCCUCUGGCG
rnacentral:rRNA from 1 species